AGCACAACGAAGGAAAAAAUGGAACUGCAGGCACGGCUGGAUAGAGUUCGACAGCUGUCUGAACAGCUGCUGAAGAAUGCCGACAGCAGAUCUCCUGACUCCACCGAUGGACCCGUCCACCAGCCAAACGACCCCGCCACACCCGUGCCACGCCCGGACUCAGGGUGUACUUGCCAGAUGGUCCGCCGU